GUAAUGUUAAGUUGGCCUGAAUGCCGAAUUUCAACUUUCCAAAGAUAAGCAUCCCAACAACAAACUAACAACCAAAAUGCUCAAGCACAAGACUAAAACCAACUGGGUCUGGGUUGCUUUCUGGGUGCUGUGGGCUUUCAAUGCUAAAACUUGAAAGCAAGAGAGAACGCUGGGAAUUGUGAUAAUAGAUGGGCCGACUGUUCGACCCUUCGUGAACGAGGAGGAGAUAUUCAAUAAGAGUGUGGAUGAGCGGUUCGCCUCCUUAGACCUCAUCGACGACGGUGUCCUCUGCAGGUCAGAGCUGCGCAAGGCUUUCGAAUCCCUCUGACUCAUCGAGACCCAUUUCGGAACCGACAUGGCCUCCUAACCUGGCAAUCUCACCCAACUCUAUGAUGCCAUCUUCAAGAAGUUCGACUGCGACCGCAACAGAACCAUCGAUGGUGACGAGUUCAGGUUUGAGACGAAAAAGAUAAUGCUCGCCAUCGCCGAUGGCCUCGGUGACUCACCCAUUCAGAUGGUUAUCGAAGAUGAUGACAAUAGCUUUGUCAAGAAAGUGAGUACGCAAACAAAAUGUAAAGGAAUUCUAUUAUCCCUUAGCGUCAUCAGUUAUCACUUUCAUGACUGCUAAAAAAUCCAGCUUUGUAGAGAUGUAAGUGAUUCACUAUUUAUUAAAUCGGCGAAUAAUUUUCUCUAGAUAAUUAUAUGUAAAGAGUUCUUCCGAAAGAAACAGAGUGAAGGAAUCAAAAUUAAAGGAAAAUGGACCUUCCUUGUUGUGGAGUGACCGAGGGAACGAAAAUGCCACAACUGUUCGUUCUUCUAGAAUCGUCGGAUCUGUGAAGCUGGUAGCAACCAUUCCCACCGGCCAUAGUGAGAAGCUGAUGCAGAGUGAAUGAGGCCCGACAUUUUUGCUAGGAAGCUAAUUUCUUUCUCCUAUUGAAGAAGCUUAGACCUUUCUUAGGUACCAUUUCGUGCUAAUCAAUUUAUGUAAUUUUCAUUCAACUUGUUAAUGGAGAUAUUUUUUUUUAUUAAUAGCUUCAUUGCCAAUUUCAUCAUGCAUGGUUUGAAAAGCAUGAUGUGUGUUUUGGGAAGUUGGAAUCAAUCAUCAUCACUCAUUACUCAGAGUGAAUUCUUCUAUUGUUUUUUGUGUUCAGUCUUUCUGAUUAAGGUGAUUCCUGGAUAAGAUAUCUGUUGUUGUUAUAUAUGCGAGUACCAUCUGUUUGAGAGAGGAUCACAAUCACUACAUUGAAUAUGACUCUACUAAAAAAUCAAAACACAUAGAAGAGUGUCACCAAUUCAUCCAUCACAUUGUUUUUCUUCAACAAUGAAGGUCUUAUUUGGGUUUUAUUAACUAAAGAGGCUCCAAGUAAGAGAAAUCCUUCAUUUUAUUCAAGAUAAGCUUUGGAUUGCAGAACAAUAUCUAGAAUGAUGAAGUCUCUAACACUUCCUUGCAAGGUAUGCGUUAUCUUCAUAGUUUAUUCAUCUAAUUCUUCUUUUGGAUCAAGUACUUGUAGUAACGAUGUUUGAGAAAUUAACACUUUUCUUAUCUGUUUCAUUGUCAAGGGCACCAUGUAUAGAAAUAUUUUACUUUAUUUUUUCUUCUAUUUUGUGCAAGCUAAAUCUCAACAUUGGAUGAUCUGUGAUGUUCUUUAGGGACUAUAUUCACAAGAAAAAAAAUGUAAAUAAGGUUUCCUGGUUUUGGUUAUAUUGAUUAAUAGAAGUAUGGGACUGCAUUUGAUUCAUGUCAUCUAUUAUAUUGUGUCCUUUUUUGUUUGAUCAUGGUGGCCUCCAAGCAUGGUAUAAUGACCAUUUGUCAUAACAUCAUAUCACACUUCCUAUUCAUAGGCAUGAUUCUGAUUUCCUUUAUUGCAGACCAAAUCAAUAAUGUAUUAUUUCCAUUACAAUCACCAACUUCUUGUGUUUAUAGGAAAGAAGGGCCUACAUUGUCAAGAAGCAUACCACACUAACAACAUGAUGGUCCUUAUCUGAGUGAUUCUCAUUCAAAGAAACAACAGUAAAAACCAUAGAGGCAUCUUAUCUGAGUGAUUCUCAUUCUUAAAAUUCAACAACCCAUGAAGCUUAAGCCUUACAUUUUGAGGCUUAUCCCUUACAUGUCUAAAGGUCUUGGCAUCUGGCCUCAUGUCUUGUGUUUUUAAACAUUGUUAUCAAUUCACCUUUUUGCAAGAUUUGGUAUUGACUUCAAAGUUUAAUUAGGGUUUUGCAUUUGACUUUUAUGAUGUUUCUUUUAUUUGUUGUUAAGUUUAAUCAUAGGAAUUAGUAAUUUUUUUCUAACUUCUGAUAUUUGUUGGAUUCUAGGCAUCAGAUUUUUAUUUUCAAAAGGUUGAAGGGCCAUGUGCUUUAAAAAGCAGAGAAGUAAGAAUGGAGUUGACAAUAACACAACCUGACGACUGGCACCUUCACCUCCGUGAUGGUGAUCUUCUUAGAGGGGGUACUCCUAACAGGUCCUGUUCUUGUUCUUUAACAUGUUUCCUUUGUAGGACCUUGAAGAUGCAGGGAUGCAUGGCUGGUGCUUGGGUAUUCAAACCUGCAUACAAAGAGAAAAAUGUAGCUGCCACAUAAUAUGGGAUUCGAGACUCCUUUUAAUUUUUCAUACUUUAAUCAUUACCAUGACAACCUCCUUGCACGUGCACACUUACUAGUA